rnacentral:rRNA from 1 species
AUACGGAGGGUGCAAGCGUUAUUCGGAAUCGCUGGGCGUAAAGGACGCGUAGGCGGGUUGGCAAGUCAGAUGUGAAAUCCUACAGCUUAACUGUAGAACUGCAUUUGAAACUGCUAACCUAGAGUAUGGGAGGGGGAGAUGGAAUUAGUGGUGUAGGGGUAAAAUCCGUAGAUAUCACUAGGAAUACCGAAAGCGAAGGCGAUCUCCUGGAACAUAACUGACGCUAAGGCGUGAAAGCGUGGGGAGCAAACAGGAUUAGAUACCCUAGUAGUCC